AACGAACGCUGGCGGCGUGCCUAAUACAUGCAAGUCGAACGAGAAAGUGGCUUCGGCCAUGAGUAAAGUGGCAGACGGGUGAGUAAUACAUAGAUAAUCUACCCUCAAGUUGGGGACAACCUUCCGAAAGGAGGGCUAAUACCGAAUGAGACCACAAGCACUACGGUGCUAGGGGUCAAAGGUGACCUCUACUUGUAAGUUAUCGCUUGAGGAUGAGUUUAUGCACCAUCAGCCUGUUGGUAGGGUAACGGCCUACCAAAGCUGUGACGGUUAGCUGAUCUGAGAGGUUGAUCAGCCACACUGGAACUGAGACACGGUCCAGACUCCUACGGGAGGCAGCAGUAGGGAAUAUUGCGCAAUGGAGGAAACUCUGACGCAGCGACGCCGCGUGGGUGAUGAAGGCUUUC
rnacentral:rRNA from 1 species